GAUGAAGAACGUAGCGAAAUGCGAUACGUAAUGUGAAUUGCAGAAUUCAGUGAAUCAUCGAAUCUUUGAACGCACAUUGCACUCCUUGGUAUUCCGAGGAGUAUGCCUGUUUCAGUAUCAUGAGCACUCUCACAUCUAACCUUUGGGUUAAAAUGUGGAAUUGGGAUGCGCCGGUUAUUAUAACGGCCCUCCUAAGAUUCAGUUCUUGGCUGCUUCCUACUACAGCAGUUUGGCCUAAUAGUUUUGAGUCUUCGAUUCAAAUCUUUGGCUAACAUUUGCUUCAGGAUGUCAGUCUUGAUAUACAGAAAUCUCAUUCAAACUUUGAUCUGAAAUCAGGUAGGGCUACCCGCUGAACUUAAGCAUAUCAAUAAGCGGAGGA
rnacentral:misc_RNA from 1 species